rnacentral:sRNA from 1 species
CAUGCGGGGAAGGACGAGAAGCUUCGACCAAGGUUCGACUCGAGCGUCAGCGAGAGAGCGUUGCCGCAGGCAACGACCCGUAGGGCGAAGCGCGCAGCGCUGAGUAAUCCUUCCCCCACCACCA